CUCCCCGGCUCAUAAAGGGGAAUGAGAUCUGCAAAGCAGUGGAUGUGUGGCAUUCCUUUGAUGGACCUCAUAUACAGAUGUUCCUGUUCCAUGUGGAGCCAUUCAUGUAAGAACUUCGUGGACAAAGUUAUAGAUAGCAUCCUUUUGUUGUGGGUGGAAUGCUUGCAUGUGACUAAGUGGUGUUUCUGGCACACGACUCAUUCUUUGCCU